rnacentral:misc_RNA from 1 species
GUAUGAAGUGCAGUUAGCUCUGCCAAAAGCAACACACCUUCCCAAAUACAAGAAAGUGAAGAAAUUCAAAUUAAAACACUCAGAAUCUCAAUCUGAAAACUUAACACGUUCUCUUGGUAGCCACACAAGUAUGAGCAAUACGUCUACAGACAGUGCUUAUAUUUCAGCUGAAUGUGGUUCUGCUGAAGGUUCUUCUCAUUGUACUGGGUCUUCUACAGUUUAUGUAAAUGAGGCACGUGAUAAGGUCUCCAUGAGAGUAAAUGAGAGCUGUUUGGAGACCGUCUCCUGUUUGAGCGAGCCACCAGAUAAGGCAUCCUUAGAAUUUAAUGGGAAGCCUCAUAAGGCCAACUCAUGCGUAAAUCAGACAGCUAGUGAGCCCUCCUUACAAGUAAGUGAUGUUUGUGAUGAGGUCUUCUUACAAGUAAAUGAGGCAUCUGGUGCGCUUGCCACCUUAAACUUAGAGAAGGACCGACCAAAAAGUGCGGAUGACAAGCUCAAGUUAUCAACGAGUGUUGUUAUUGAGUCCAACUGUGAAGCAGAAGGUUCGCAUACCCUACUCAACAUCCCAACUGCACAUCGCCACAGUACACAAAAAUCUCACACAAGCUUUAUGUUCUGGAGAAGAAAAAAUAAAUGUUGUGGAAAGCGAGUGUCAGUCAGUCCUCGUAUUGAUGUUUUGCUCCAGCAAAUUCUACCAUUAAAGUCAAAGAACUGUCAUGUGCAGCCACCAAAAGCUCACAAGAGGCCACUGGUUUACUUAAAACGAAACCUGAAGAAUAGAAAAGAGACGAUGAAGCAAGCCAUGGCUGGACACGUGCAUACAAUGUCACGUAAGAGGAAGCUGUGCACACAAAAACAUAACAAGGGUUAUGAUGAUUCUAUCAAGAAGAUGAAAUCCAAUGAGAAAAUUUCUUUGCUUGUGAGUGGGAUGGAGGAAAGUUGCACGAAAGCUAGUGGCAAACCGAAAACUUCCACGUCAAUUAGCAACGAAACAUUAAGAGCUUCUGUCAGAUCCCAGAAGACGUCAUGCGGCGAAGCGAGAUUGAAGAGAAAAUCGAAUAAAACCAAGACAUCUGCAAAAAUUGUCUCGGGACAAGUAAACGUGAAAGUCGCGGUGCAGCCGACCACUCAGCUUAAAACAGUGCCAUCUCUUGGACGUUAUAAAGGAAAAGCGAUUGGCGUCUGCCGACCUAAUAUGGCGAAGAGACACCCAAAUGGCGCCUCUGUCGACGUACAGACUCUCUUAAAGUUGCGACGACCGAGAUCGUUUGGAUCGCUUUCACAAAUGGAGCAGCUGGAACUGUUGUCACCGGGUCUGCAGUACAAACAGACAGAGAAGACAUUGUCACACUGUGGUGGAUCCUGGAGCACCAUCGUCAAGGAGAAUUAGGAGUGCCUUCUUAUCUGCAUGGACAUCAUCAGGUGUUCCAUGCAGAGAUAGCCAGCGACCAGGACAGCGUCAGUAAGCCAGCGACCAGGACAGCGUCAGUAAGCCAGCGACCAGGACAGCGUCAGUAAGCCAGCGACCAGGACAGCAUCAGUAAGUCAGCGACCAGGACAGCGUCAGUAAGUCAGCGACCAGGACAGCGUCAGUUAGCCAGCGAUCAGGACAGCGUCAGUAAUCCAUCGACCAGGACAGCGUCAUUAGCCAGCGACCAGGACAGCGUCA